AGGGGCUUAAAAACAAACCGCAAGACGUUGGCCAUGCCUCACAUGGUAACCCGCAUGGUGUAGGUGUAUGGACCAAAAUCUAAAAGAAAACACAACCUAAGAAACAAACCUGUAUCCGAGAGGUAAAGACCGACCCAUCUAGGCGUGAUGAUCUGGUUUGUAUAAGCUUGGACCAUGUAAAAUGGUUCAUUGAAGGCCUCAAGCUAAACCGAUUCAAUGGGCCUCCAUUCAAACAGAACUAAGAGACGGAAGACAAAGAGUG
rnacentral:lncRNA from 1 species